UCUAUUUACACCAACUUAGGAUAUCGACAUUAUAACAUGAGAGAUUUUAAUAAUCAAAAUCACAUUGAUAACCAUCAAAUGCAUACCAGAGAUGCAUUUGAACGCGUUCUGUUCAUGUUCUGUUUAAAACUUGUGCUCACGAGAGCCGUGUUCAAGUUCAAACAAAUUUGUCGUUUGAUCACAGGACUCUGAUCAUUGCGUGGCAACCGUCACGUAUAUGGCAGAUACAAAUUGGAUGGAAAUGCAGAAGCAUUAAAAUUCAUAGUACUUUUAUUCGUGUCAAGUCGCACUACUAACGAUCGGAAAUCAAUGAUGUGAUAGUGACCGACUGACGAUAUAAAUUCUAAACUCAUAUUCUGGUGUUUUCAUUGGCAAGAUUAUCCGAUUGAUCAUCAAAGUGCAAAACCGUGGUAUGGUCUUCAGAUAAUUUUGACUUAUUCCUAAAUAAACAUGCAUUGUAUUUUGAGAA